GCUACGCCCAUUCCGUCGUGCGCCGGCUGCCGCCGUGCCUCGCGCGGGAGGAUGGAGUCGCUCGCCGGGAGGAUGGACAGCGCGGAGAAGCGCUCUUGCGCCCGAGCUCCUGUGCCCGCGCCUCGCGCCUCCUUGCACCGCUCCGGCGGCCACUCGCCACCCACUGUCGCCGGCGACCACAAGCAGCGACCGUCACACCUCUACGCGCGCCACCCCGAGGCCCCAGCCACGCCGUGCUGCCGUCCUCCGCAACCCCAGCCUCCUCCUCGACCUCGCCUCUCCGUGCGAACAAACGGCGUCGCUGCCGGCGGGCACCGUACUUGAGCUGACGGCGCCGACCGCACGGGGCUCAUCUCCGAGGUGUUCGCCGUGCUGGCCGACAUGAGCUGCAGCGUCGUCGAUGCCAGGGCGUGGUCGCAUUGCGGCCGCCUCUCCUGCCUCGUCUACCUGCGGGACGAGGAUGUUUCCGCCGCCGGUGUGGAGCGCAUCGAGGCCCGCCUCGCCCCCUCCUCCACAGAGACUCGGAAGCCAGCGCCGGCGCAGUGGCUGCCGUCCCCGACGGCUCCAUCCCGCACGUCGACCGGCGCCUCCACCAGCUCAUGUAUCCCAGCGGCGACCAGGAGCUUGCGUUCCCAGCUCCCUCGGUGCCUGUCGAGAGCUGGGCCGAGCGCGGGUACUCGGUGUUCAACGGCCAUUCCACAAUCAUCUCUUGUACAGUGGCUGAGGAAGAUCCAGGAAAGCAAGAGCUGCGCAAGAGGGGGCAGGAUCAGGAAGAAGCACGGUGAUGCAACCUUAGAAGUAGACCAAAUGCAGACAUGUACAUAAGGGGAUCCGAUUACGAUUAGAUGAUGCAGACCGUGUCCUUGUCCAACAAAACUCAAUCGAGUGUUUGACCCGGAUUGUUCUUUUUUUUCUAUAAGAAGGAAGAGUACUACGUUGGAAUCUCCAUCACGUUAAUUGUCGACGAAACAUCCAAUGUUUCCGCCGAGUUCGCAGCAGGAAGGAGCUCCGAGUUCGCCAAUGUCUCCUGCGGCGUCUACACCAGAGUUUCAGAUACGAAAGUCAAGAGCGUCAUAGGAGGAAGAAGCUCCGAGUUUGUCGGAGGUACACAAACAUCCGUCCAGCACUCCAAUGUCGCCUACGGCAUCUACACCAGAGGUAUGCUUCCACUUGACCCCUGUUAACAAGCGCCGUGAGCAGAGUAGACACCGGCCAAGUCCAACAUUUGAUUUAGCCAUGUACGCACAGAGUGUCAAUCAUCAUCCAAAUCCAUACAUUGCGUUAAUUUUCAGACCCUCUAGGCGAUGCUUUUUCAUGUCUAGAAUUGACCCUCGAGGUGAUGCUUUUUCAUGUGUAGAAUUCAGCAUGUUAGGCAAGAGUGUCAAUCAAUCUACUAUAAUAUCAGACAUGAGAGACCAGUCCAAUUUUUCUUCACUACCUCAGAAUAAGGAAGCUCAAGUCUGUAGUAGCAGGACUCAUAAGAAAAUGCAUUGGCACACACACACACACACACACACACACACACAUAUAUAUAUAUAGUAGAAUCUAAAUCUGUUAAUCUAUUAAAAGAUAAGGAAUCUACUUGAAAGAUAAUGACAAGAGAGACCAGUCCAAUUUUUCUUGUAAAGUGCAUGUUGUUUAAACUCUUAAAUGUUCAUGUCUACCUCUGUUUCUUUCUCAUUGAGUUUUGGUACAUUUGGUAUUGUUCGAUAUGCUAUCUAAUAUAGUGUGUGGCCCCACUUCAGUUGUUCAAUUAUUUUUCACUUAGCAGCGGGAGAUUGAUGGACCAAUUAUGCCAGUAAUGUCCUUAAUUUCAGAGAAGAUGCAAAACAGAUAACAUGGAUGCGCUUGAAUACUUGCCGGUAGUGUAGCUUUCUGCUGGACCAUAUAUUCUGCCAGGAGAAGUUUCAGUGACCAAUGGAAGCUUUGAUGUAUUUUUUUCAAGCAGAAGUAAUCGUCUAUUACCCAUGUCAGGUUUCGACUCAAAUUGUGGUGCUUCUGUUGGCAUUCCUUAUCUUUUAUGCC